rnacentral:rRNA from 1 species
GGCGAGUAAUGUCUGGGAAACUGCCUGAUGGAGGGGGAUAACUACUGGAAACGGUAGCUAAUACCGCAUAACGUCGCAAGACCAAAGAGGGGGACCCUCGGGCCUCUUGCCAUCGGAUGUGCCCAGAUGGGAUUAGCUUGUUGGUGGGGUAACGGCUCACCAAGGCGACGAUCCCUAGCUGGUCUGAGAGGAUGACCAGCCACACUGGAACUGAGACACGGUCCAGACUCCUACGGGAGGCAGCAGUGGGGAAUAUUGCACAAUGGGCGCAAGCCUGAUGCAGCCAUGCCGCGUGUAUGAAGAAGGCCUUCGGGUUGUAAAGUACUUUCAGCGGGGAGGAAGGGAGUAAAGUUAAUACCUUUGCUCAUUGACGUUACCCGCAGAAGAAGCACCGGCUAACUCCGUGCCAGCAGCCGCGGUAAUACGGAGGGUGCAAGCGUUAAUCGGAAUUACUGGGCGUAAAGCGCACGCAGGCGGUUUGUUAAGUCAGAUGUGAAAUCCCCGGGCUCAACCUGGGAACUGCAUCUGAUACUGGCAAGCUUGAGUCUCGUAGAGGGGGGUAGAAUUCCAGGUGUAGCGGUGAAAUGCGUAGAGAUCUGGAGGAAUACCGGUGGCGAAGGCGGCCCCCUGGACGAAGACUGACGCUCAGGUGCGAAAGCGUGGGGAGCAAACAGGAUUAGAUACCCUGGUAGUCCACGCCGUAAACGAUGUCGACUUGGAGGUUGUGCCCUUGAGGCGUGGCUUCCGGAGCUAACGCGUUAAGUCGACCGCCUGGGGAGUACGGCCGCAAGGUUAAAACUCAAAUGAAUUGACGGGGGCCCGCACAAGCGGUGGAGCAUGUGGUUUAAUUCGAUGCAACGCGAAGAACCUUACCUGGUCUUGACAUCCACGGAAGUUUUCAGAGAUGAGAAUGUGCCUUCGGGAACCGUGAGACAGGUGCUGCAUGGCUGUCGUCAGCUCGUGUUGUGAAAUGUUGGGUUAAGUCCCGCAACGAGCGCAACCCUUAUCCUUUGUUGCCAGCGGUCCGGCCGGGAACUCAAAGGAGACUGCCAGUGAUAAACUGGAGGAAGGUGGGGAUGACGUCAAGUCAUCAUGGCCCUUACGACCAGGGCUACACACGUGCUACAAUGGCGCAUACAAAGAGAAGCGACCUCGCGAGAGCAAGCGGACCUCAUAAAGUGCGUCGUAGUCCGGAUUGGAGUCUGCAACUCGACUCCAUGAAGUCGGAAUCGCUAGUAAUCGUGGAUCAGAAUGCCACGGUGAAUACGUUCCCGGGCCUUGUACACACCGCCCGUCACACCAUGGGAGUGGGUUGCAAAAGAAGUAGGUAGCUUAACCUUCGGGAGGGCGCUUACCACUUUGUGAUUCAUGACUGGGGUGAAGUCGUAACAAGGUA